GACAGAGGUCCCGAGCGUUAGGCGGAAUCACUGGGCUUAAAGCGUGUGUAGGCGGCGGCCUAAGUACCUUGUGAAAUCCCACGGCUCACCCGUGGAACUGCUCGGUAUACUGGGUCGCUUGAGCCACUUAGGGGCUACCGGAACAAAUGGUGGAGCGGUGAAAUGCGUAGAUAUCAAGAGGAAUACCUGAGGUGAAGACGGGUUGCUAGGCCGACACUGACGCUGAAGCGCGAAAGCCAGGGGAGCAAACGGG
rnacentral:rRNA from 1 species